UUUUUAAUUCUUGAAAAGAGGUGUGCACGCCGGGCGGCCUGUCAAGACUGAUGUGAAUUCCCAAGGCUGAACCUGGGAACUGCAUUCGAAACUGGCAUGCUAGAGUCUUGUUAGGGGGGUAGAAUUCCAGGUGUAGCGGUGAAAUGCGUAAGAUCUGGAGGAAUACCGGUGGCGAAGGCGGCCCCCUGGACAAAGACUGACGCUCAGUGCGAAAGCGUGGGGAGCAAACAGGAUUAGAUACCCUGGUAGUCCACGCCGUAAACGAUGUCGACUUGGAGGUUGUGCCCUUGAGGCGUGGCUUCCGGAGCUAACGCGUUAAGUCGACCGCCUGGGGAGUACGGCCGCAAGGUUAAAACUCAAAUGAAUUGCGGGGGCCCGCACAAGCGGUGGAGCAUGUGGUUUAAUUAAUGCACGCAAAAACCUUACCUACUCUUGACAUCCAGAGAACUUUCAGAGAUGCUUGGUGCCUUCGGGAACUCUGAACAGGUGCUGCAUGGCUGUCUCACUCUUUUGUGAAUGUUGGGUUAAGCCCGAACGAGCGCAUCUUUAUUCUUUUUUGCGCGGUUAGCGGAACUCAAAGGAACUCCAUGUUAACUGAGGAAGUGGGGAUACUAUAGCAUCUGGUCCUACGAGAGGCUACAACUGCUAAAUGGCGUUACAAGAGAAUCAC
rnacentral:rRNA from 1 species